GAAAGAAAGAAGAAAGGAAAGAAAGACCUUUCUUUGCCUUUUCUGUUCCUCCUUCACAUACCUUAUAACUGUGGUCUACCUGUAACUUCCUACAAAUCCUGAGAUAACUUACAAAAGACCAAAAUCAAUCUGGCAUAAAAAUUAAAAACUUUAUUGACCUCAAAAUGCCUGCCAGCAGUAUGUGAGCAUACUGCAAAACAUCAAGCCAAGCUUAGAGGUAUGAACAUUCCCAGAAGUGUGUAGGUAUUACUACCUGAACAAUAUUACAAUAUAUUUUCUAAUUCCUUCCUAAUUAACCUCUUCUUGCCACCAAAAGAUUUAAAAUAAUAAGUUAAAUAAUUAUCAAGAAAGGCAUAAGGAGGGAAGAUUCAGCAUUUUCCUACAGGAUCCCUGCACCUACUCAGACCAUUUUCCCUAGAGUUUCUGAGAGCACAUUAUGAUAUACAAUGCUUGAUAACUAAUUCUCUGGAAGAUUUACUAUUCUAUAAAUUUCUUAGACACAGAUCUCAAUUACAGCCACAGUUGUCCUGCUUGAUAUUCAGUAUCAAAAACAUUAGAGUGAAUUCAUCUUAAAAUAUACAGUGUUACAAUGAAAAUGAUAAAAAGUCUAAAGUUUCUAUCCUUAAUUUUCAUGCUAUACCCUAAUUUUAAAAUGAGACUUGAGGUGUUAAGGAAAUGCAGAAUGGCUCCUGAACCAAGAAGGAAAUGAUAGAUAUUAAAGUAGGAAGAGAGAUGAGUGAAAACCAGACUUGUGUGGUGGAUCAAAGCACCCUGUGUACCAAAGAAGCUCAAUGCUACAGAUUUUUCAGAACUAGAAACUGAUAGCUGUUGCUGUUUCGUCCUUUGUCUUUAAAUUGUCCAGAAUAAUGCAUCCUGCAUUCUAUUUUAAUAUACCACCUAUUUUAUAUUGAACUUUCUUUGUAUAGAUUCUGAGUUGGAGAAUUGCAAACAGAAAGUUUAUUGUGGAAUGUUCUUUGAGAUACACAUCCAAAAAUAAUAAUGAUUGGAGAAAUAGGAUUGAGCAAAGGAAAACACCAAUCUUCAAUGUAGUUGCAACUGAGGCUUCAGCCAGUCUGCUGUCAAGUUUUGGAGCUGGAAUAACAAUGUGGCCCCAAAUUAAGGCAAAGAGAACAUGUGUUAUAUUCCUUCAUCAGUUAGUCAUUAACUGUGAGCCACUGCCUGAAAGGGGGUGGAAACUUGAAUGGGCUAUUUUUUAUGGAUCAAGCAAUUCUCAGUAAGGCAUGAAGUUGUAAUCCCUCUGAAACUAAGAUAACCAGCACCUCUGAGGUGAAUGGAACGCUUAAAACCUAAGAGGCUCCAGGGGUCCAGAAACUGAGCAAGAGAUCAUGACUUUUUUAUCAAGGUUAUCACCCAAGAGUAUUUACUAGUAAAACUUCUACACAAAACUCUUUUCUUCAGAGUCUAUAAUAAUUUAUUCAGAGUCUAUAAUCAUGAAGCCAAAUUUAAGAGGUUUGUUAUCAGUAGUGGACCUUAAAAGCAGAUUCAUAGAUGGGGUUUUGGAGAUCAGUCACUUACUGGCUUGCUGUCGAUUGAAGUACCCAUCGCUCUCGGUAAUUAGAGUAUGAAUAGGUCCUGGCAUAAUGUAGCAGUGCAAUUGUUAAAACUUCCAUUAGUAGUGAACUGGAAUGUGAUAAUAGUGGAGGGGAUAUGUUGCUUUGUGUAAUAUCUUAGACAGUUGAAAGGUAGGAAUGAAAUGGUAACUCAAAGGGUUAUAGAACUCAGCAACUGUUGCAGUCAGCUAUAGAUUCAUUAAAGAAAGAUAAUUGCAAACUUAUAUUUAUUAACCACUAACACAAGGUCAAAUGUUAAAACUAGAGGACUUCCUGGACAGCAUUUAUGGAAACCCUAUUCUUUUCUAGCUGUAUCUGAACGUCAGACAGCGUGAGAACCAAGCUCAAGACUUAAUCAUAAAGACAGAGAGUUUUAUCACUUAGAGAUCUAGCAGAUAAACUACUUAAGGCUGUAUUCACCUGUUCCUGAUGCUAUAACAAAAUAUUUUAUACUUGGCAAUUCUCACAGUUCUGGAAACUAGGAAGCUGAGAUCAAGGUGCCAGCAGAUUUGGUAUCAGUAAGGGCCUUCUUGCUGCAUCCUCACAUGGCAGAAGGGAUGAACAUUUUGUCUUCACAUGGGAAAGAGUAAGAGAGGGAGGCAGCUUUCUGAGGUAUCUUUUACAGGAGUGUUAAUCUAAUACAAGAGCGUGGAGCCCUCUUGACCUAAUCACCUCCCAGAGGCCUCACCUUCUGAUACCAUCACCUUGGUUUCGACAUAUGAAUUUUGGAGAACACAUACAUUCAAACCAUAGAAAAGGUGUACUUCUAUCAGAAGGAAAAAGACCCUAAAAGGAUAUGAUAGAAAUCCAAUAUUGAUGGUAAGUAAUUCAGUGGAUAAAAUUGUUGGCAACGUAAGUAUACAUAACAACACCUUAAAUAUUUUGUUAUAGAAGACUCAGACGACCUUAAGUAAUUUAUCUGCUAGAUCUCUAAGUGAUAAAACUCUCUGUCUUUAUGAUUAAGUCUUGAGUUUUGUUCUAACUCUCAACUUCAGAUUUAGCCAGUCAAGAUUCGGAUUUCUAUAAAUGCUGUCCAGGAAGUCCUCUGGCUUUAACGUUUGACCUUGCAUUAGUGGUUAAUAAAUAUAAGUUUGUCAUUAUUUUUCUUUAAGGAAUCUAUGGCACAUUGCAACAGUUACUGAGUUCUGUAGCCCUUUUAGUUACCAUUUCAUUCCUAGCUUUCAGCUGUCUAAGAUAUUACAAAAAGCAGCAUAUCUCUUCCACCAUUAUCACAAUCCAGUUAUUAUUAUAAUCAUUAUUAUAAAAUUUAAUAUAAAAAGUAAAUUAUGUCUUGUACUUGAGCAACAACUAAUGAAUAUAUAUUUUUAAAAAUAUAUAUGUGUAAAACAUAUAUAAACUGUAAAAUUUAAGUUUGAUCACAUCACUCCUCUGUUUUAAACUCUUCAAUGCAUUUUUGUGUUAUUCACAGUAAAAAUCAAAGCUCAUAAAACAGCUUCAAGGCUCAUCAUUAAAUUUCUAUGAUAUCACCUCCUAAAAGUUUAGUUUUCUUCUUACCAAUUCUAUGCAGCUAUGUUAAUCUCUAUGUGACUAUAGAGUAAUUACCUUUCAUUCUUUGUAUGUUUCUUAACUGUUAGGACUUUCAGAGCCAGUUUGCUUAAAUAAGUAGGACUUUAGCUAAUUGACCAAACUGGAGGUUAAAUUAUGACUGAUUAAAUAUGAAUACACCUAUAACAAGCCAAGAAAGUACGUUUACCCACAGAAGAUAAAUGAAUAUCUGAUAAGCACAUUUAAAGAUUCUCAAAUCAUUAGUCACUAGAAAAAUGCAAAUUAAAACCACAUUAAGAUACCAUGUUAUACCUACCUACUAGAAAGGCUAUACUGUACAUGUCAGGAGACAGUAAACUUUGAUGAGGCUAUGAGGAAAAGGAACCUUCUUACAUGGCUGACAGAAAUGGGUAUAUGAUGCAGUCCCACUGGAAGUGUCUGACAGUUAAUGGAAAGGUUAAAUAAACCUGAUGUUGUCAUAUGACCCAGAAAUCCUAUCUUUUGUUAAUUAUCCAAAAGAAAUGAAAAUGUAUACCACACAAAGCCUUCUCUCAAAGUACUGGAUCAGGGCAUCCUGUGUACCAAAUAACAAAAGUAAAAGAAAGAGGUCCUGAUGCUUUUUUCUCCCCUAUUAACACCAUCCAGAUUCUUUUUUUCUUUCUUUUUUUCUUUUUGGUGUUUCUUCUUUACAGUGUGUAGGAUGAUAUUUGGCUUUAAUUAUAUCACUCCAGGGAAAAAAAUUAAGACACAGAGAAACUUUUCAGCUCUUAUUUGCUCAAAGUAUAGAAACUUGUGUGAAUUCUAUAUAGCAUAAUAAAUACAGAUAUUAAAAACUUAACGAUUUCUUUGGUAUUCUUGAAGACACCAUACAUCCUCUUGCCUUCAAUUUUCAUGUGGUCUCCAUCCAUAUUUCUUUUUCUGAAAUAUACACAUGACUGUUAACCUUACUUCCUUUAGAUCUGUGAUCAAAUUCAUCUGUGAGUUAACCUUUACUUAUUCUCCUUCUAUAAAAAAUGUUCCUUUCUACCUGGCAUGCUCCAUAUUCUACUCUGAUUCCUCUUUCUUCAUAAUAUUUAUUACCACCUGAAAUAGUUAUUUAGUUGUUUAUGUAUCUCCUAUAUCCCUCCAUGCUAGUCAAUGAGAGGAAGGGCUCUGUGCAAUUUUAUUCAUUGCUGUGUCCUUCAUAUCCAAUCAAGUACACGGUUAGUGCUUAAUGACCUGUUUGUUAAGUUAAUGCUGAAUAAAGGAAGAGCCACUACCAAGGACGUACAUAUCAAGGAGGCUUUACAGAGGAGCUGACAUUUGAAAUAGUUUUUGAAGAAAGAGUAGAGUUUUCUCCAAAACGGAGAGAAAGGAAGGAAGACUUUCCAGCUAGCUGUGUGGAAGAAAGGGAAAUACAGUAAACACUGUCAGUGUCUUAUGGCAAUUAGGAGGAAGUUUGAUGACUUGACAAAAGCAACUUCAGGAAGAAAGCAUAAAUUCUUCUUCAGUGUAUUCAUUAAUAUAUGUAGUAUGUGUUGGACUAAAAUAUAUAAUAUUAUCCACAAUAUAUAAAAGAUACAUAUUUCUAGAUACAUAAUCUAUAUUAAAGUUUUUGGCUAAAUCUCUGUUAGCUCUUUUAGGUUAGCCCUUUCCCGGCAGAACCGGUAAAAGGAUUGCAUUUUUUUGUGUGUUUGUACUAUUACAGAAUCCAGUAUUUAAAGGAUUUUGGAAAAGAGAAUUUAAAAUGAAAUAUUAGAAACUACUUCAUUUUUCUUUCUCCUUUACAAAUAAAGAUGUAAUUUUAUAAAUAG
rnacentral:lncRNA from 10 species